rnacentral:lncRNA from 1 species
AGAGAUGGGCAUUUGGCCUAGUUCAGGCUAAUGAGAAGCAGGUUGGAAUGAUCUGGAAGACGCAGUUAUUUCUUUGCAAAGGGCUUUCUAAAAGAAUAUCAGCUGGAGCUGCAGGGGGCAUCUUGCCACUGUUGGUAAAGGUCUUGCCUGAGAAUGAAGCCAACACGGAGGCAAGCAGAGGUGGAGAGAGACUGAGUCCUGAAGACAUUAUUUAAACUCUUGGAUCAAACUGUGCCUGAAGCUCAUCCAUGCCUGCACUUUUCAAUUAUAGGAGGAGCAGCUGGAGGCCCCAAGAGCCCACGUCCCUCUGCUCUCAAGUGGUUCAAGAAUCAUCCAGUGGAAGUUGCCUACCUGCCUCAUUACAAGGUCAGGCAAGGGCAGCCCUGGGACUUGUUUUCUGCUCACUUGGAGGCUGUUCUGAGGGUUUCAGGGACUGGCUCCACUGUUUACUAGCCAUGUGACCUUGAGGCAAUAAUGUCGCCUCUGUGCACCUGUUUUUUAAAUCUGAAACAUGGGGAGAACAGUUCCUAUCUCCUAGGGCCACUGUGAGGAGUGGCUGUGGUGGUGCCUGCUAAGUGCUGUGCCAGCGCUCAACGUGAUCUCAUCGCCUUUAUAACAACUACAGAGACUGGGACCUGCAGCAGAGACCCAGCGAGCGUCCACACCUCCUCUCCAGGCCUGUGCUCCUGCAGCUGGGACCAGGGACAGUGCAGCUCACUGAGCCAUCAGGCAGUCCGCACCUGUUAUUGAGCUCCUGUGGGAGCAAAACCCACAGUCAGGCGCUCACAGAGCUGGCAGUCCCAGGGGGCCUGUGCACGGGCCUAUAUGUGUAGGAGAGAGAACAGCAGUGCCAGGCAGCACGAGCUGAGGGCCGAACAAACAGGCAGAUGAGUAGGGACUCCGGACUUGGAGAAGGGGAGAUGGGUGGAGACUUGGAGAUGAGGUGAAGAUACAGGAAGGCUUCCUGGAAGAGCAGAGCCCUGGAGCAUGGCAGGAUCCAGACAGAAGAGAGGACUGGGAAACGAGAGCAGAAAUUUCAAACGUUUGUGGCCCAUCCUUGCUAGGGAUGCAUCAUGUGACUACUUGACCCUCUACAGCCCCAAUCAUCUGUCACUUCCGUUCCUCUCCUCUCAGGUGGCAUGGUCUGGUUAUUUUGACAUACACGUCAACACUCCCAUUCCUAUACCAUUGGCAGACAUCACUAAUCAACUACAGAACACAACUAAAUCCACCCCUCUCACACACACAGACACACCCCCCCCCCCCCCACACACACGCUACUUAUGCGUCUCAAAGCAGGAAGCUAUUAUUAACCUAUUGUGGUUAGCAGUUGGGGUGAAACCAUUUUGCUGACUCAGGUUGGGUUGAAAUAAAGCACCGUCUUUGAAACCUAGAAA